GCGAAAGUAGCUCAGCUGGUAGAGCGCAACCUUGCCAAGGUUGAGGUCGCGAGUUCGAACCUCGUCUUUCGCUCAA
rnacentral:tRNA from 2 species